rnacentral:rRNA from 1 species
CAAGUCGAACGGAAAGGCCCCUUCGGGGGUGCUCGAGUGGCGAACGGGUGAGUAACACGUGGGUGAUCUGCCCUGCACUUUGGGAUAAGCCUGGGAAACUGGGUCUAAUACCGGAUAGGACUACGCGAUGCAUGUCGUGUGGUGGAAAGCUUUUGCGGUGUGGGAUGGGCCCGCGGCCUAUCAGCUUGUUGGUGGGGUGAUGGCCUACCAAGGCGACGACGGGUAGCCGGCCUGAGAGGGUGUCCGGCCACACUGGGACUGAGAUACGGCCCAGACUCCUACGGGAGGCAGCAGUGGGGAAUAUUGCACAAUGGGCGCAAGCCUGAUGCAGCGACGCCGCGUGAGGGAUGACGGCCUUCGGGUUGUAAACCUCUUUCAGUAUCGACGAAGCGCAAGUGACGGUAGAUACAGAAGAAGCACCGGCCAACUACGUGCCAGCAGCCGCGGUAAUACGUAGGGUGCGAGCGUUGUCCGGAAUUACUGGGCGUAAAGAGCUCGUAGGUGGUUUGUCGCGUUGUUCGUGAAAACUCACAACUCAAUUGUGGGCGUGCGGGCGAUACGGGCAGACUGGAGUACUGCAGGGGAGACUGGAAUUCCUGGUGUAGCGGUGGAAUGCGCAGAUAUCAGGAGGAACACCGGUGGCGAAGGCGGGUCUCUGGGCAGUAACUGACGCUGAGGAGCGAAAGCGUGGGGAGCGAACAGGAUUAGAUACCCUGGUAGUCCACGCCGUAAACGGUGGGUACUAGGUGUGGGUUUCCUUCCUUGGGAUCCGUGCCGUAGCUAACGCAUUAAGUACCCCGCCUGGGGAGUAC